rnacentral:rRNA from 1 species
AUCGAUGAAGAACGCAGCGAAAUGCGAUAAGUAAUGUGAAUUGCAGAAUUCAGUGAAUCAUCGAAUCUUUGAACGCACCUUGCGCUCCUUGGUAUUCCGAGGAGCAUGCCUGUUUGAGUGUCAUUAAAUUCUCAACCUUUCCUGCUUUUGUUAGCUGGGCGAGGCUUGGAUGUGGGGGUCUGCAGGCUUCUCAGAAGUCAGCUCUCCUUAAAUGCAUUAGCGGAACCUUUGUCGACCAGCUCUGGUGUGAUAAUUAUCUAUGCCACCGCGAAGCGACUUUGAAUGGGGUUUGGCUUCUAAUCGUCCUUUACAAGGACAGCUCUUAUGACAUUUGACCUCAAAUCAGGUAGGACUACCCGCUGAACUUAAGCAUAUCAAUAAGCGGAGGAAAAGAAACUAACAAGGAUUCCCCUAGUAACUGCGAGUGAAGCGGGAAAAGCUCAAAUUUAAAAUCUGGUGGUCUCUGGCCAUCCGAGUUGUAAUCUAGAGAAGUGCUAUCCGUGCUGGACCGUGUACAAGUUUCCUGGAACGGAGCGUCAUAGAGGGUGAGAAUCCCGUCUCUGACACGGACUACCAGUGCAUUGUGAUGCGCUCUCAAAGAGUCGAGUUGUUUGGGAAUGCAGCUCUAAAUGGGUGGUAAAUUCCAUCUAAAGCUAAAUAUUGGCGAGAGACCGAUAGCGAACAAGUACCGUGAGGGAAAGAUGAAAAGAACUUUGGAAAGAGAGUUAAACAGUACGUGAAAUUGUUGAAAGGGAAACGCUUGAAGUCAGUCGCGUUGGCCAGGGAUCAACCUUGCUUUUGCUUGGUGUACUUUCUGGUCGACGGGUCAGCAUCAAUUUUGACCGGUGGACAAAGGUCAGGGGAAUGUGGCAUCUUCGGAUGUGUUAUAGCCCUUGGCUGCAUACAUCGGUUGGGAUUGAGGAACUCAGCACGCCGCAAGGCCGGGUUUUUAACCACGUACGUGCUUAGGAUGCUGGCAUAAUGGCUUUAAUCGACCCGUCUUGAAACACGG